GCUAGUAAUCGCGGAUCAGCAUGCCGCGGUGAAUACGUUCCCGGGCCUUGUACACACCGCCCGUCACACAUGGGAGCCGGUAAUACCCGAAGUCAGUAGUCCAACCUCGUGAGGACGCUGCCGAAGGUAGGAUUGGCGACUGGGGUAAAGUCGUAACAAGGUAGC
rnacentral:rRNA from 1 species